GACUUAUCCAGAGAAGUGAAGGGAUUUGGCCCAAUGAAACUUCAGCAACAGACUUAAAAGACAAAAGUACUGUGCUAACUCCAAAGAGGUAUGCCUCAAAGAUAAGUG
rnacentral:ncRNA from 21 species